rnacentral:tRNA from 1 species
GUCUCGGUUGUCUAAUGGGUUAGGACGCUCGUACGGAAUACAAGAGAUCCGGGUUCGACUCUCGGCCGAGACA